rnacentral:rRNA from 1 species
UACGGGGGGGGCAAGCGUUGUUCGGAGUUACUGGGCGUAAAGGGUGUGUAGGCGGUUGUUUAAGUUUGGUGUGAAAUCUCCCGGCUCAACUGGGAGGGUGCGCCGAAUACUGAAUGACUUGGAGUGCGGGAGAGGAGAGUGGAAUUCCUGGUGUAGCGGUGAAAUGCGUAGAUAUCAGGAGGAACACCGGUGGUGUAGACGGCUCUCUGGACCGUAACUGACGCUGAGACACGAAAGCGUGGGUAGCAAACAGG